AUUGAACGCUGGCGGCAUGCUCUACACAUGCAAGUCGAGCGGCAGCGCGGGGCAACUUGGCGGCGAGCGGCGAACGGGUGCGUAAUACAUCGGAACAUGUCCAGUCGUGGGGGAUAACCUGGCGAAAGCCAGGCUAAUACCGCAUGCGCCCGGGCGAGGAAAGCGGGGGACCGUAAGGCUUCGCGCGUGUGGGUUGGCCGAUGUACGAUUAGCUAGUUGGCGGGGUAAGAGCACACCAAGGCGAUGAUCGGUAGCUGGUCUGAGAGGAUGACCAGCCACACUGGGACUGAGACGCGGCCCAGAGUCCUACUGGAGGCAGCAGUGGGGAAUUUUGGAAUAGGGGGUGAACCCUGCUCCAGCCAUUCCGCGUGGGUGAAGAAGGCCUUCGGGUUGUAAAGCUCUUUGGUCCUGAGCGAAACGGUUACGGUGAAUAGCCGUGACUACUGACGGUACCGGAAGAAUUAGCACCGGCUAACUACGUGCCAGCCGCCGCGGUAAAAC
rnacentral:rRNA from 1 species